rnacentral:rRNA from 1 species
GUGGGGAAUAUUGGACAAUGGGCGAAAGCCUGAUCCAGCCAUGCCGCGUGUGUGAAGAAGGUCUUCGGAUUGUAAAGCACUUUAAGCUGGGAGGAAGGGCAGUAAGUUAAUACCUUGCUGUUUUGACGUUACCGACAGAAUAAGCACCGGCUAACUUCGUGCCAGCAGCCGCGGUAAUACGAAGGGUGCAAGCGUUAAUCGGAAUUACUGGGCGUAAAGCGCGCGUAGGUGGUUUUGUAAGUUGGAGGUGAAAUCCCCGGGCUCAACAUGGGAACUGCCCCCAAAACUGCAUGGCUAGAGUACGGUAGAGGGUAGUGGGAUUUCCUGUGUAGCGGUGAAAUGCGUAGGUAUAGGAAGGAACACCAGUGGCGAAGGCGGCUACCUGGACUGAUACUGACACUGAGGUGCGAAAGCGUGGGGAGCAAACAGGAUUAGAAACCCUGGUAGUCC